UUCAGUCUAGUGAUCGUAUGUGUGUUAUUUUUGACAUAUUUAGUGAUUGAAUGUUUACACUUUUGAACCAGAUACAGUGAAACAGCUUUAACUCUACAGUCUAGUCUAUUUGAUUCACUGAUUCUACCAAGUACGACACACACUCACACACUCACACACACCACCCCCUGACUCAUCCUCUCUGUGCUCUAUUCCCUUCUGCCGUAUCUAUGGCAACGGACUGUAUUAAAAAAAAUCAAGGACCCACUUCCUGUGCUUCUGAAUCCCGGUUCUCACGGUCUCACCUUCACAAGUGGGUUACACUAAUCGUGAGAGCCCAGCUGUGUGUUCAGACACACACACACACACACACACACACACACACUGAACACACACACACACACACACACAUACACACACACACACACACUGAACAUACACACACUGAACACACACACACACACACACACACACACACACUGAACACACACACACACACUGAACACACACACACUGAACACACACACACACACACACACUGAACACACACACAUACACACAGCUUGGCUCUCACCAUUCGUACAGAACAAAGCACCCACAGCAUUCAGUCAUAUUGAAACACAACACUAACCACAACAACACCAAUGACCUCUUUUUUGGCCCCAAUUGAAAGCAUUCUGGUGCAUUCUGGCAUCAGAGCCAUUUAGCCUGGAACAGACCCCUUCCAGAGCAUUCAUAUUCAGGGCCAUAGCAGAGAGACAUCCAAGGUCUGGUCUAAAGCAGGAUCAGAUAUCAGUCUGUCCCCUAGGUCUGGUCUAAAGCAGGAUCAGAUAUCAGUCUGUCCCCUAGGUCUGGUCUAAAGCAGGAUCAGACAUCAGUCUGUCCCCUAGGUCUGGUCUAAAGCAGGAUCAGACAUCAGUCUGUCCCCUAGGUCUGGUCUAAAGCAGGAUCAGACAUCAGUCUGUCCCCUAGGUCUGGUCUAAAGCAGGAUCAGACAUCAGUCUGUCCCCUAGGUCUGGUCUAAAGCAGGAUCAGAUAUCAGUCUGUCCCCUAGGUCUGGUCUAAAGCAGGAUCAGACAUCAGUCUGUCCCCUAGGUCUGGUCUAAAGCAGGAUCAGACAUCAGUCUGUCCCCUAGGUCUGGUCUAAAGCAGGAUCAGACAUCAGUCUGUCCCCUAGGUCUGGUCUAAAGCAGGAUCAGACAUCAGUCUGUCCCCUAGGUCUGGUCUAAAGCAGGAUCAGACAUCAGUCUGUCCCCUAGGUCUGGUCUAAAGCAGGAUCAGAUAUCAGUCUGUCCCCUAGGUCUGGUCUAAAGCAGGACCAGUGUAGCAGACAUCUAUCUACAGGAACACAAGAGCCGUGAUUCAGACAUUCAUAACAAACUAACUGCUAAUAAGUGCGUAGCUACUAACUCAACCAUCUCCUUACCUCCACCAGGACCCAGGUGAAUUUCUGUGUAAUAACAUACCCAUUUAAUAACUGUGUAAUAAC